GAAGGAAAAACGGACCUAGUCUUUUGAGGCAAAGUUCUGUGACACUCAGACUCUGAUUAUGAUAGAAGUCAGUGCACUACAGAACUUUGUCUCCAGAGGCUGUCGCGGCGACUGGGGGGU
rnacentral:pre_miRNA from 13 species